rnacentral:rRNA from 1 species
UUGCACCUGAUGAGAGUGGCGAACGGGUGAGUAACACGUAGGUGAUCUACCUAGAAGUUGGGGAUAGCCUGUGGAAACACAGGGUAAUACCGAAUGAGCCUAUAUACAUACGUGUAUGUAGGGAAAGAGGCUCAGGCCUCGCUUGUAGUUGAGCCUGCGGCUCAUUAGCUAGUUGGGAGGGUAAAGGCCUACCAAGGCGACGAUGAGUAGCCGACCUGAGAGGGUGGGCGGUCACACUGGGACUGAGACACGGGCCAGACUCCUACGGGAGGCAGCAGCUAAGAAUCUUCCGCAAUGGUCGAAAGGCUGACGGAGCGACGCCGCGUGGACGAAGAAGGCCGGAAGGUUGUGAAGUUCUUUUCUCAGAGAAGAAUAAGGUGAGGAGGGAAUGCCUCAUUGAUGACGUUAUCUGAGGAAUAAGCCCCGGCUAAUUACGUGCCAGCAGCCGCGGUAACACGUAAGGGGCGAGCGUCGUUCGGAAUUAUUGGGCGUAAAGGGCGCGUAGGCGGCUGAACAAGCCUGGUGUGAAAGGCCACAGCUUAACUGUGGGAGUGCGCUGGGAACUGUUUGG